CAUCAGGUGGUAGGCAGUGUUCCCUCAGAGACAGUCCGCUGAGACAGACCAUCAGGUGGAAGGCAGUGUUCCCUCAGAGACAGUCCGCUGAGACAGACCAUCAGGUGGAAGGCAGUAUUCCCUCAGAGACAGUCCGCUGAGACAGACCAUCAGGUGGUAGGCAGUGUUCCCUCAGAGACAGUCCGCUGAGACAGACCAUCAGGUGGUAGGCAGUGUGUUCCCUCAGAGACAGUCUGCUGAGACAGACCAUCAGGUGGUAGGCAGUGUUCCCUCAGAGACAGACCGCUGAGACAGACCAUCAGGUGGUAGGCGGUGUUCCCUCAGAGACAGACCGCUGAGACAGACCAUCAGGUGGUAGGCAGUGUUCCCUCAGAGACAGUCCGCUGAGACAGACCAUCAGGUGGAAGGCGGUGUUCCCUCAGAGACAGCCCGCUGAGACAGACCAUCAGAUGGAAGGCGGUGUUCCCUCAGAGACAGUCCGCUGAGACAGACCAUCAGGUGGUAGGCAGUGUUCCCUCAGAGACAGUCCGCUGAGACAGACCAUCAGGUGGUAGGCAGUGUUCCCUCAGAGACAGACCGCUGAGACAGACCAUCAGGUGGUAGGCGGUGUUCCCUCAGAGACAGUCCGCUGAGACAGACCAUCAGGUGGUAGGCAGUGUUCCCUCAGAGACAGCCCGCUGAGACAGACCAUCAGGUGGAAGGCGGUGUUCCCUCAGAGACAGUCCGCUGAGACAGACCAUCAGGUGGAAGGCAGUGUUCCCUCAGAGACAGUCCGCUGAGACAGACCAUCAGGUGGAAGGCGGUGUUCCCUCAGAGACAGUCCGCUGAGACAGACCAUCAGGUGGUAGGCAGUGUUCCCUCAGAGACAGUCCGCUGAGACAGACCAUCAGGUGGAAGGCGGUGUUCCCUCAGAGACAGUCCGCUGAGACAGACCAUCAGGUGGUAGGCGGUGUUCCCUCAGAGACAGUCCGCUGAGACAGACCAUCAGGUGGAAGGCGGUGUUCCCUCAGAGACAGUCCGCUGAGACAGACCAUCAGGUGGUAGGCAGUGUUCCCUCAGAGACAGUCCGCUGAGACAGACCAUCAGGUGGUAGGCAGUGUUCCCUCAGAGACAGACCGCUGAGACAGACCAUCAGGUGGAAGGCGGUGUUCCCUCAGAGACAGUCCGCUGAGACAGACCAUCAGGUGGUAGGCGGUGUUCCCUCAGAGACAGACCGCUGAGACAGACCAUCAGGUGGAAGGCGGUGUUCCCUCAGAGACAGACCAUCAGAUGGUAGGCGGUGUUCCCUCAGAGACAGACCAUCAGAUGGUAGGCGGUGUUCCCUCAGAGACAGACCAUCAGAUGGUAGGCAGUGUUCCCUCAGAGACAGACCAUCAGGUGGUAGGCAGUGUUCCCUCAGAGACAGACUGCUGAGACAGACCAUCAGGUGGAAGGCGGUGUUCCCUCAGAGACAGCCCGCUGAGACAGACCAUCAGGUGGUAGGCAGUGUUCCCUCAGAGACAGACCGCUGAGACAGACCAUCAGGUGGUAGGCAGUGUUCCCUCAGAGACAGACCGCUGAGACAGACCAUCAGGUGGUAGGCGGUGUUCCCUCAGAGACAGCCCGCUGAGACAGACCAUCAGGUGGUAGGCAGUGUUCCCUCAGAGACAGACCACUGAGACAGACCAUCAGGUGGUAGGCGGUGUUCCCUCAGAGACAGUCCGCUGAGACAGACCAUCAGGUGGUAGGCAGUGUUCCCUCAGAGACAGCCCGCUGAGACAGACCAUCAGGUGGUAAGCGGUGUUCCCUCAGAGACAGUCCGCUGAGACAGACCAUCAGGUGGAAGGCGGUGUUCCCUCAGAGACAGUCCGCUGAGACAGACCAUCAGGUGGUAGGCAGUGUUCCCUCAGAGACAGACCGCUGAGACAGACCAUCAGGUGGUAGGCGGUGUUCCCUCAGAGACAGACCGCUGAGACAGACCAUCAGGUGGAAGGCAGUGUUCCCUCAGAGACAGACCGCUGAGACAGACCAUCAGGUGGUAAGCGGUGUUCCCUCAGAGACAGACCGCUGAGACAGACCAUCAGGUGGUAAGCGGUGUUCCCUCAGAGACAGUCCGCUGAGACAGACCAUCAGGUGGUAGGCAGUGUUCCCUCAGAGACAGACUGCUGAGACAGACCAUCAGGUGGAAGGCGGUGUUCCCUCAGAGACAGACCGCUGAGACAGACCAUCAGGUGGUAAGCGGUGUUCCCUCAGAGACAGUCCGCUGAGACAGACCAUCAGGUGGAAGGCGGUGUUCCCUCAGAGACAGUCCGCUGAGACAGACCAUCAGGUGGUAGGCAGUGUUCCCUCAGAGACAGCCCGCUGAGACAGACCAUCAGGUGGAAGGCGGUGUUCCCUCAGAGACAGACUGCUGAGACAGACCAUCAGAUGGUAGGCGGUGUUCCCUCAGAGACAGACCAUCAGAUGGUAGGCAGUGUUCCCUCAGAGACAGACCAUCAGAUGGUAGGCAGUGUUCCCUCAGAGACAGACUGCUGAGACAGACCAUCAGGUGGAAGGCGGUGUUCCCUCAGAGACAGCCCGCUGAGACAGACCAUCAGGUGGUAGGCAGUGUUCCCUCAGAGACAGACCGCUGAGACAGACCAUCAGGUGGUAGGCAGUGUUCCCUCAGAGACAGACCGCUGAGACAGACCAUCAGGUGGUAGGCGGUGUUCCCUCAGAGACAGCCCGCUGAGACAGACCAUCAGGUGGUAGGCAGUGUUCCCUCAGAGACAGACCGCUGAGACAGACCAUCAGGUGGUAGGCAGUGUUCCCUCAGAGACAGACCGCUGAGACAGACCAUCAGGUGGUAGGCGGUGUUCCCUCAGAGACAGCCCGCUGAGACAGACCAUCAGGUGGUAGGCAGUGUUCCCUCAGAGACAGACCACUGAGACAGACCAUCAGGUGGUAGGCGGUGUUCCCUCAGAGACAGUCCGCUGAGACAGACCAUCAGGUGGUAGGCAGUGUUCCCUCAGAGACAGCCCGCUGAGACAGACCAUCAGGUGGUAAGCGGUGUUCCCUCAGAGACAGUCCGCUGAGACAGACCAUCAGGUGGAAGGCGGUGUUCCCUCAGAGACAGUCCGCUGAGACAGACCAUCAGGUGGUAGGCAGUGUUCCCUCAGAGACAGACCGCUGAGACAGACCAUCAGGUGGUAGGCGGUGUUCCCUCAGAGACAGACCGCUGAGACAGACCAUCAGGUGGAAGGCAGUGUUCCCUCAGAGACAGACCGCUGAGACAGACCAUCAGGUGGUAAGCGGUGUUCCCUCAGAGACAGACCGC